CCGAUUUUUGUGAACCAGUAGGAGAGACCAGAACUUCUAUUUGAUUUGAUCUGGCUUUCAGUGAUGAGGAAGCAACUUUCAGAUGUAAUCCACUCACCACGAUUUCGUCUUCCUUGGGUUUUACCCUUAUGGAGUGUGCUUUCACCUGAUUUUUGAAGCGGCAAACAGGUUGCCAAUGACCGGGUUUCCCACAUCCAUGGCAAGUAGACUUCAGUGCCGGACAUUCCUCACGAGUGUGUCUCUUGGACGAUCUGCAAAAAGAACACCUCUCGGAUGAUCCAGACUUCUCAAGUUUUGGACCUGACUUUCCACCGCUCCUCUUCUAAGAAGACUUGGUGGCGGCGUUGACUCCCAAUUCCGCAGAAUUGACAAAUUGGUGUGACGUAAAAGUACGGGUGCCGUCACGGAUGGUCUCAGCCUCGAGAACGAAUUUACGAGCCUCGUUAAAUGUGGACGGGUUGCGCUCCAUAAGUUUGGCCUUGUCCAAAUUAUUGCCUGGAAUAAGAGGGCUAUUAGAAGGCGAUCUUCCGUGAUUUGAGAAAUCCCUCAUGUCAAGAUGAACGUUACGGAGACUUCGUAAAUGACCCUCAAUGAUGUUGAGAAUUUCGACCACUGUACGGCCGGUAUCCGAACGUAUUCCAAGGGAAUGACGUACAAUGCAUAGGAAGCCCGGGCUGCAGCACUCCCAUAAAAGCCCAACUUGGAUUGCCCUCUCCCGCUGAUCUAGGUCCAGCGUGUCCAAUUGUGCGAAUCAGUACCCGUGAAAAGGUGGAUGUCAAGACCAGAUGUGGGGAAUGUUUCUCGUUUUCACGUUCGUCCAGUGGAGUGGUCUGGAAAGCUGUCAUUCGAGGAGCCCAAAGAUUCUAUACAUUGAGAUAUCAUCAUGUCCAUGGAGAAGUCGCCGAAAGUGAUCUUAUCAAGGCGACUAUUCCUUUUGCAAUGAUUAAAUCAACGGUCAUAAAUGAGCUUUUUUUAUAAUUUCCACGACGCCCGUUUAUGUGGCAUACCCAAUGGCAACCUGCUGGUCCUCAUUCUUCCGAAAGCUCCUAUCCCGGAGUUUAUAGUCAUUGGUACGAGGAAAAUCAGAAUCAUCAACAGGGACCAAAUCCGUCUAUGCUUCCAUUGUAGAGCCGAAGACCACCUAGAAAGCAAUUGUCCACUCAUUAAACAGGUCGUAGAAAAUCACGAAAAUCCAGUCAAAUCGUCUCUUUACCGAAGUGGAUCGAAGGACGAAUGCAGAAAUGGAGUGUCCGAGUUUUCGACAAAGGCACGCUCAACGAUAAAUGCUAAUCAAAAACAAUAUACCUUUUGGGGACUUUAACAUCGUUUUCUCAAAAGCCUCAUUUAAAAACACCAAAUUUUGUGACCUCAUGAUCAGCGGUGGGCUUGCUUCGGUAAUUAAAAAUCCCACAAGAAUAACGAUAGCAA